ensembl:lncRNA TFAP2E-AS1 TFAP2E antisense RNA 1
GCGCAUCGCGUUCUCAGCUGGCGAAGUCCCUGCGGCCCCCUCCCUCCGAGAUUUCGUUAGCGCGGGACAGGAGGGUUGGAAAGUCCAGCACUCAGGCGCCCCGAUCCCCCGGCCGAAUAUGUCCCGGGCCCGAGACUACUCACCAUGGCGGAGUAGGUGUGCACCAGCAUGGGGCGGAACUGCUUCACAAGAUUAAAGGAGAAACAGAAAAUGUAUCUAGCGCUGUGCUUGGGGCAUGGCAGGAACUCAAUGAAUGCUUAUUAAAUACUGUAAAUGAUAAACA